rnacentral:rRNA from 1 species
GAUGAACGCUGGCGGCGUGCCUAAUACAUGCAAGUCGAGCGAACAGAUGAGGAGCUUGCUCCUCUGACGUUAGCGGCGGACGGGUGAGUAACACGUGGAUAACCUACCUAUAAGACUGGGAUAACUUCGGGAAACCGGAGCUAAUACCGGAUAAUAUAUUGAACCGCAUGGUUCAAUAGUGAAAGACGGUUUUGCUGUCACUUAUAGAUGGAUCCGCGCCGCAUUAGCUAGUUGGUAAGGUAACGGCUUACCAAGGCAACGAUGCGUAGCCGACCUGAGAGGGUGAUCGUCCACACUGGAACUGAGACACGGUCCAGACUCCUACGGGAGGCAGCAGUAGGGAAUCUUCCGCAAUGGGCGAAAGCCUGACGGAGCAACGCCGCGUGAGUGAUGAAGGUCUUCGGAUCGUAAAACUCUGUUAUUAGGGAAGAACAAAUGUGUAAGUAACUAUGCACGUCUUGACGGUACCUAAUCAGAAAGCCACGGCUAACUACGUG